rnacentral:rRNA from 1 species
AGUCGAGCGAUUAUAGCAAUAUAAGAGCGGCAAACGGGUGCGUAACACGUGAGCAAUCUGCCCUGAAGUCUGGAAUAGCCCUGGGAAACUAGGAUUAAUACCGGAUGGUGAAGAGUCAGGCAUCUGAUUCUUUCCAAAGCUUGUAACGGCGCUUCAGGAGGAGCUCGCGGCCUAUCAGCUAGUUGGCGAGGUAACGGCUCACCAAGGCUAAGACGGGUAACUGGUCUGAGAGGAUGAUCAGUCACACUGGAACUGAGACACGGUUCAGACACCUACGGGUGGCAGCAGUUUCGAAUCGUUCACAAUGGGGGCAACCCUGAUGGCGCGACGCCGCGUGGGGGAUGAAGGUCUUCGGAUUGUAAACUCCUGUCAUUGGGGACUAAUGGCCAGGCUCAUACCCUGGUUUGAAUUAACCCAAAGAGGAAGCAGUGGCUAACUCUGUGCCAGCAGCCGCGGUAAUACAGAGACUGCAAGCGUUACUCGGAUUCACUGGGCGUAAAGGGAGCGCAGGCGGACUAGUGUGUCAGGCGUGAAAUCUCAGGGCUCAACCCUGAGGCUGCGUCCGAAACUACUAGUCUAGAAACUUGGAGGGGUAAGCGGAAUUCUUGGUGGAGCAGUGAAAUGCGUAGAUAUCAAGAGGAACACCAACGGCGAAGGCAGCUUACUGGACAAGAUUUGACGCUCAGGCUCGAAAGCGUGGGGAGCAAAAAGGAUUAGAUACCCUUGUAGUCCACGCUGUAAACGGUGCGCAUUANGUCUUGGAGCUUUCGAACGCUUCAGGCUCAAGCUAACGCAUUAAAUGCGCCGCCUGAGGACUACGGCCGCAAGGCUAAACUCAAGGAAUUGACGGGGGCCCGCACAAGCGUGGAGCAUGUGGCUUA